rfam:Lachnospiraceae bacterium CAG:215 genomic scaffold, scf163
AACGUAGGUAGAGGUUGCAUUCUUUAUCAGUAAGGUGCCGGAUGUACAGGAGCAGGGGAAAGCAUCAGAAAGGAAAGAUUGCCGAAAGUAUAUGAGACCUGAAAUCAUAUUGCUUGGGUGUGGCGUGAAGAACGACAUGGCUGUCAUCGCAGGAUGGAGAGCUAUCUGAUUU